AGUGAACGCUGGCGGUAGGCCUAACACAUGCAAGUCGAACGGCAGCACAGUAAGAGCUUGCUCUUACGGGUGGCGAGUGGCGGACGGGUGAGGAAUACAUCGGAAUCUACUUUUUCGUGGGGGAUAACGUAGGGAAACUUACGCUAAUACCGCAUACGACCUACGGGUGAAAGCAGGGGAUCUUCGGACCUUGCGCGAUUGAAUGAGCCGAUGUCGGAUUAGCUAGUUGGCGGGGUAAAGGCCCACCAAGGCGACGAUCCGUAGCUGGUCUGAGAGGAUGAUCAGCCACACUGGAACUGAGACACGGUCCAGACUCCUACGGGAGGCAGCAGUGGGGAAUAUUGGACAAUGGGCGCAAGCCUGAUCCAGCCAUACCGCGUGGGUGAAGAAGGCCUUCGGGUUGUAAAGCCCUUUUGUUGGGAAAGAAAAGCAGCAGGUUAAAACCCCGAUGUUCUGACGGUACCCAAAGAAUAAGCACCGGCUAACUUCGUG
rnacentral:rRNA from 1 species